ensembl:lncRNA NKAPP1 NFKB activating protein pseudogene 1
GUUCCCAUGGUUUCCUUUGCUCCCAGCGGUUGCGCGGGCUGGGUUUUUGGAGCAAAGGCAACGGAUACUGCUGAGGCUCCUGAGAAUGUCCCGUUUUCGAGGCUGCAGUAGCUCCGGUGUCCGGUUCUGCAGUGCCGAGAGGGAGGCCUCGGGCUCCGGGCGGGGGAAUGUGUUGCAGUUUGUCCAAGAGCCCCAAGCCCAGCAAAGCCGCCCGUUCCCCGCUGGGGCGCAACUCUCACUGGAACUCUUGUUCUCUGACUGGGGAAUGGAAUGGGCUCAGCCAAGGCUCCCGAAACCAGCCCUGCCGCUCCCAGUUGUGGUCGCAUUCUCAAGAGCGGCUGACUGCGCCGUGGACCAUCACUUUCGCUUCUGCCUGCUCUUGCGCCUAUUGCGGCAACUACUCACGCUCCUACGGGACGAGGAGAGGGAGGUGAAUCCGUGGCAGAGAAAGUGCCUGCUUCUCCUUUGCCUUCUGCCACGAUUGUAAGUUUCCUGAGGCCUCCCCAGCCAUGCAGAACAGGGAAAGAAUGGUGAGAAGGAGCAGAGUGAGAUGAAUGAAAUUUGAUCUCUGUCGUUGGCUGUGGUUGCUACUCUUGGACAGUAACUCGAUGACCAUGAAGAAGACUUCCUCAUUUCAUCACAUCCUGCAUGUUGACUAGGAUCACAGCUGGCAGCUAGUCUCCUUCCUUCCAGUUCAGAAUGAAUGGACUAAACAUUUACUUAGUGGAGAGUUAUGCAAAAUUUUGAUACUAUAGAAUGUGUUCACCUAACGGGUUGAGCCAAGAAGAGGCUCCUAAAUCUAAGUCUGUAUGUUAAAUAAAUAGAAGAGACGAUUUAGCAUCUUA